rnacentral:lncRNA from 1 species
CAGGUAAAAGGCAUUUAAAAAUCAGAAAAUUACAUUGUGAUCCUUUAAUACAUAAAUUACUACAUUAAUAGCUAAUCUAUUACACCAUAAUUUUAUUUUUUGAAAAGAAGAUAUCAACUAAUUCUAUUACAAUUUCUAGAAAAUUAACAGCCAAGUGAACUCUUGCCCCUUUUGGAUAUAAUUGAUCCAACCAAAGCUUAGACCACCACAUGGAGACAUUAAUUUCAACAUGAUAACAAUAACCAAAUUCCACUUCUUGGCUUUAAAACUUGUUGAUUUCGCCAACUAGUGACCAAAUCCACAAGUUAUAGCCCGUGGAGCAACAUGACCACAAGUAAAACACUAUGUUACUCAUCACAAGUAGAAGCAAAAAAAAGAAACAACUUCAAUAGCUAAUAUUCAGAAUCAGUAACACAUUGUGAAAAUUUAACUAAAAAAAAUAUCUUCAAACAAGGUCACUUUUAAGAGAAAAAGCUACAAGUAUUAAUGUAUCAACCAAGUUAUUCAUAAUAGAUUAUUUCAAACCUUAAACUCACAUAUCGAUAGAUUAACUAGAUCUAUAACAAUGUAAUUAAUAACUACAUAAAAGGACACUCAUUCAUCACAUAUAAUUUACAUUUUUUGGUCUUAUAACAUUCAAACAAGCAGUACAUGAAGAAAGCUAAAAUCAUUACCUUGAAAAACAGCAAACACCAGCAGGAAAAACAAGUGAAAUGCUGGUUGAAACUUAAAGAUGGAGCAGCAACCAGAAACCAAACAGUAGCAGUAAGAAAUCAGCCCAGAAACCAAAGGACCAGCACUUAGACUUCUCAAAAAUCAGAGUACUAGAGAAAACCGGCCUAGAAAUCUAACUAGAAAACUGAUGUUUUAGCAAGAAAGUUUCAGGAAAUUUUCUCUUUUUGUAUUAUGAAAUUUUAGGUAACUAUACGCUACUGAAAAAUCUGUCCAGAAUGAGGGAGUAACUAUUCCGUUUAUAGGGUGUACCAAAAUAACAUCAAAAAAGCAUAUUCUACCCUAAAUUCCCUAAAUGUUAGAUAGUAUAGCAUAUUUGGACAACUGUCUGUCCUUUUCAGCCCAAUUCCAAUAUUUUUUAUGCUAAAAAUGAGGACAAUUGUACAAUACUAGAACAUUAUGAUAUUUUACUCUUUAUAAAUUCCAAAUUUACCCCUUCAAAUACUGAUUAUUUCAGUUAUAUCCUAAAUUCUUAUCCUAACUUGACUCAAAGAUCCCUUUAGGACCUUCUAGAACCAAUUAGAUGAUUCUAGCAUUGAAGUUCCUAACCUUAUUUCAAUUGUACCACCUUAAAGCUUUGGGGUACUACCUUGCAAUUCUGAAAUUAGUUUUAAGCUUAAGGGUAUCUAAGGUUUAAUUCAAACAAUCUAAAUCUUAAUUAGUAAAUUAACAGGUUAACCUAAUUAACCUUAAACAAGAAAACUGAAUUUAAACUUAUAUCCAAAGCAGUAACCAGACAAAAACAGAAUGAUGAUGCAAAGAAAACCUAGAAAUUAAUCUAAUCAGUUUGCAAAUCAAAAUAAAUAUAUCAACUAAGCUACUCUUUCUAACCAAGCAGCUCGUUAAUUAACUUUUGGAAUUUGAUUAGAACUAAUCUGAUUAUCCUAAGCUAAUCAUUGCAUCUAAAACAACGAAUAACUGAGAGAAACAAUCACAAAAAUGGAAAUAACAAAAAAACAAAUAGAAUAAUCAUGCAACAUAGCAAAAGGCUAAAAACUGACCCUAACUAGCCUAAAUUUUAUGCAAUCGAAAUUAACCUUCAGCAUAUUUCAAUUAACACAAACAAAUGAAACAAACAAACAAUACUAAAUAAAAAUAAAUACACUGUCAUUACCUAAAUCAUGCAGGCUAAAAGAAAGAGAAAAUGAACAUGAAAGAAGACAGAACAUAAAAUAAAAAGGAAAUGGAAAAGAAAUUACCUAAGGCUCGUUUUGGAAUGGACCAGUCAAGAAAUCGACCAAUUUUAACAGGGUAAAGAUGAACUUAGAUGAUCAUUAAUCGAUUGGUCUUAUCAAGAGCAGUCGAUUAAUGGAAGUCUUGGGUUCAAACAGCCCAAAAACUAAACGAAAAUCAGAAGGAGAAAAGUUAGGGUUUUGGGAUCCUAGAUCCAAGAUUCGAGAAAUUCUAGGCUUGUUUGAAAGGAGUUGUGGUGAUAUAUGGAAAGAGGAAGAGGAGGUGAUUAUAGGGUGUUAAUUUGGUGGGGUUUGGAGGUGGUCCGCCGCCGUGAGGAAAUUUUCGAUCAGCGGAUCACAACGAAGACGGUGAGGAGAACUAGGGCGGCUAGGUUUCGUUUUGAGAGAGAUGGGAGAGAAGAAGUGAGACCGG